GACUGGUCUGAAGGCAGUGAGUCAACUCAGUUGAUUAUUCACAGUCAGUUACGCAUCCAACUCCUUAUUCUACUCUUCCCCUCUUCUCACUACUGCAUUUGACUGGUAUCUU
ensembl:misc_RNA Y_RNA Y RNA